GUUGAACGCUGGCGGCAGGCCUAACACAUGCAAGUCGAGCGGGGUUUUCGGACCUAGCGGCGGACGGGUGAGUAAUGCGUAGGAAGCUGCCCGAUAGAGGGGGAUACCAGUUGGAAACGACUGUUAAUACCGCAUAAUGUCUACGGACCAAAGUGUGGGACCUUCGGGCCACACGCUAUCGGAUGCGCCUACGUGGGAUUAGCUAGUUGGUGAGGUAAUGGCUCACCAAGGCGACGAUCUCUAGCUGGUUUGAGAGGAUGAUCAGCCAUACUGGAACUGAGACACGGUCCAGACUCCUACGGGAGGCAGCAGUGGGGAAUAUUGGACAAUGGGCGCAAGCCUGAUCCAGCCAUGCCGCGUGUGUGAAGAAGGCCUUCGGGUUGUAAAGCACUUUCAGCGAGGAGGAAGGGGUGUGUGUUAAUAGUACACACCUUUGACGUUACUCGCAGAAGAAGCACCGGCUAACUCUGUGCCAGCCGCCGCCGUAACAC
rnacentral:rRNA from 1 species